rnacentral:misc_RNA from 1 species
AAAGCCAAACCUAAGGCCAUUAAAAUUACACAGGCUGUGCAAGCUAACCUGUCUGACUAUCUGUGCAAAAGAAGCUUGAAGACAUGAAGGACAAGCUACAAGGGUCUAACCUGUGCAAUUUAAAGGCCAUUACACGGCCCAUGCAGUGACUCGAGGCAGUAAAUUCAGACUCAGUUUCUCACGUUUUCUUUCCUUUCUUGGGGGUUUUCUAAGGCUAUUACAACUCCGAAAUAAGGGUCUUUUGUGAGAUAUAAAUACAAGGAGUCUGAGUUUCAGUAGGGAUUGACCUUCUUUACUUUGACCUUCUUUACUUCCAAGAGAGAAAAAUGACUUUAGAGAGAGAGAGAGAGAGA